rnacentral:snoRNA from 1 species
CCCCUCUCAGGGUCACACCUGGAGAGUUUACAGCACUCUACCAGUUUCGACUAUGGGAGGGAGAGUCAAGCGGAGCCCUACCCAUUCCAUUCCUAGUUUGGCCAGUGGCUAGCGAAUGGAAGGCAAUCUGCUACAAGU